GGGGAAUUAGCUCAAUUGGUAGAGUGUUUGAUUAGCAUGCAAGAGGUAGCGGGAUUGACGCCCGCAUUCUCCA